ACCUGAGUGGCUCAGUCGGUUAAGUGUCCGACUUCGGCUCAGAUCAUGAUCUCACAGUUUGUGGGUUCAAGCCCCACAUCAGGCU
rnacentral:tRNA from 1 species